AAGACAAAGUAUAAGGGAAAAAAAUACAUUAACUAAAAUUAGUGUCUGUGAAUAUAAUUAAGAUAACCUUUCAAGAGCUGUUUCUGUGUAAAGCUUGUUACAUUUGACAUGACAGGAAUAUGGGCCUCUGUGAAUAUGAGAGAACAGGAAACUAAUGCCAUUCUAAGUAAUAAUAAUAUUUUUAUGUCAAAAAGGGACGUCGAUGGGGCUGUGGUUGGCUCAGUGGUAGAGCGCUUGCCUAGCAUGUGUGAGGCACUGGGUUUGAUUCUCAGCACUGCUUAUUUAUAUUAUUAUAUAAAUAAAUGGAUAAAAUAAAGGUCUAUCAACAUCUAAAAAAAAAUAAGGAAAAAAAAGGGGGGACAUCAGUGUUCCCAGUUUACCAAGUGAUGCUUGAGGUUUUACACGUUUGUUUUAUACAGAGUUUAGCCUGAGAGGCCUAUCUAUGUCCAUGGCUCAUUUCCCGCUUUCUACUUUAGGUUGCUUGUCUAAAGCCAAGCAUGCAUUAGACAAAUAACUGGUUUGUGUCUGCUUUGUUCCCAGUGGCUUAUGGUAUUCUCCUAAAUUCUUAUGAUGUCUUUGAAUUUAGUGUCUUGGAUGUGAAUGUAAGAUCAGAGGGAUUAACUGGUAGUGCAAGGAAAUAUGUCUGUGACCUGAGCUGUUAUAGUUGGUGAUAUAUCUGGGGUUAGGUAUUGAACUCUGAAAUCAUACUUUUAAAAAUGUUUUGCAUCCUAAUUGUACAGUUGGAAUCAAAUACUUGGAGAAGUAAUACGUAUCUAUUAGCAGCUGUUACUAUAUUUGUGAUUUGGGGAGAGGGGGUAGUACAGGCCCUACAACAAAUAGCUGUUGAUCGCCAGUGUUACACCUCCACUGUGGAUCACUUCAACUGCACGGUUCUUCAUAUAGAUGAUCCACUUUAAAAAAUCCUUUUCGGCUUUGUACAUUUUAAGUAAACAUCCUUGAGACAGGCCAGUCACUCUGAAUUAGAAGAACCCUAAACUCAGUAUCUCUCCCACCUACACACACAAUUUGCUACUUCUGUGGUAGCUGGUGGCUGAAAUAGAAAAGUUAAAUGAAGUCCUGUUUGACAAAAACCUUUGAUCCUAUAGGAGUAAAAACACGCCAAGUGUUUUUACCUUCAGCGGGUCCCUUCAUUUCACCGCUGUGUUAUAUUCCCACAGAGCUCUUUUGAUCUGUGCCAACAGCAUCAACUGGAAUAAAACCAAAAGGCUUCCAUUGUUAAGUGGAUUUGCUUUUUUCUGAGGUGUUUGUUUUGUGUUUCUCAAGCCUUUAACCAAAGGUAACAUCUUUUUCAAGUUCCUUUCUCCCUCCAAGUAAAGUAUUUAAAAUAAUAAUAGUUUUCAAGGUUGGCCUAUUGAGCUACACAAAGCCAAACAUGCAUUAGACAAAUAACUUUUGC
rnacentral:lncRNA from 1 species